AGUGAACGCUGGCGGUAGGCCUAACACAUGCAAGUCGAACGGCAGCACAGUAAGAGCUUGCUCUUACGGGUGGCGAGUGGCGGACGGGUGAGGAAUACAUCGGAAUCUACUUUUUCGUGGGGGAUAACGUAGGGAAACUUACGCUAAUACCGAAUACGACCUACGGGUGAAAGCAGGGGAUCAUCGGACCUUGCGCGAUUGAAUGAGCCGAUGUCGGAUUAGCUAGUUGGCGGGGUAAAGGCACACCAAGGCGACGAUCCGUAGCUGGUCUGAGAGGAUGAUCAGCCACACUGGAACUGAGACACGGUCCAGACUCCUACGGGAGGCAGCAGUGGGGAAUAUUGGACAAUGGGCGCAAGCCUGAUCCAGCCAUACCGCGUGGGUGAAGAAGGCCUUCGGGUUGUAAAGCCCUUUUGUUGGGAAAGAAAAGCAGCAGGUUAAUACCCCGCUGUUCUGACGGUACCCAAAGAAUAAGCACCGGCUAACUUCGUG
rnacentral:rRNA from 1 species